CAAGAACUUGGCGUAUCUCCAAGCAGCGAAGCAUCUCAAUGCUCGGCAAGCCAGGUCUGUUUUUUACCUGUUUCAAUCUCAUUAUUACAUACAUGCCUGGGUCCCACAACACCAAAGCAGACGCACUGUCACGCCAGUUCGCACCGGAUCCCGAUGAUGAGGGAAUCAGCCCAUCCUCCCGCCUUCGUGUUUUGUUGGAGCUUUAAUGUGGGAGAUAAAGAAGCUCAUAAGGGAGCAGGAACCCGACCCAGGAACAGGCCCAGAGGGCAAGCUGUUUGUCCCUGCAUCAGAGUAGGGUGCUCCAGUGGGCCUACACCGCACAUUUCGGCUGUCAUCUGGUUAGGAACCUCACCAUCACUUUCCUUCAGCAAUCCUUCUGGUGGCCUACUCUGAUGCAGGGAGUAUGUCGUUGACUGUCCUGUGUGUACUCAGAAUAAGGCACCGAAUUCGCCUCCUGCUGGCCUCCUGCAACCACUCCCCAUGCCCAAGUGACCCUGGUCGCACAUUGCACUGGACUUUGUCACCGGACUGCCCCCGUCAUCAGGUGAGACCAGUCCGGACCAGCCCGUUGUGCCUGCCCCCUGGGUCCCCACCAUCUCUGACAAGUUUGAGCUCCGUGCCAGGGUCCACUCAUUCACCCCCGGUGACAGCAAUGACAUACACACCCUGAGGUUCUCAGAACAAGCAGAUUGAGCUUGAAAAGAAAGACUUAGCAGCAGCUUUCUCUCUCACAAGACUGAUCAGCAAUUUGAGUUCAUGAUGCAGCUUUAUGGAGCUCUGAUCCUGUGUGUGACUCUGUCUGCAGCAUGUGGAUUAAAAUGCUACACAUGUGCAGCUGCAGAUCCUAAAUCCUGCACAGACACCACAUCUUGUGCAUUCAUCUUCAACCGUUGUUUCUCUGGCAGAGUAGAUGGUCUUAAUGUAGUUACAAAGGGCUGCCUAAACAGUGUAGCAUGUGUUUGGCCUAUGUCUUGCUGUGAAGGGGACCUGUGUAACAGCACUAUUCCAACUGGUCCCAGUGCCAUCCUGCUGCUGGUAUCUUCAGCCAUCCUCAAAUUUCUUUUCUGAGCCUGUAGAAUGAUGUUGUUUCCAUACUGCAUUUUUUCGUAUUCUAUUUUGUACAACUAGAGAAGAAAAUAAAGAAAAUAAAAAACAUAAAAAUGCCAUGAUAUGAAAUAAAAAUGUCAUUGCUAUUUUGAUCUGUCAUUUAAAGUAAUCCUGUCACAGCCCUGGAUCGGUGACCCAGUGUUUUAUGUAUUAUUGUUAUUUUAUGAUUUCUUCGUGGUUUGAUUUCCAGUAUUUAGUAUGGGUUUAGUUCUGUGCCAGUCUGUUUCCUGUUUUACUUUGAAAGUUCGUGUCUCAUGUUAGUGUGUCUGGUUUUGCUCCCUUGUCUCAUUAGGUCUGAUUUGUCUCAGCUGUGUUUACUUCCUGUCUCCCUGAUUGCUCCCUCUGUGUAUUUAUGUCCUGUGUUUCUCUUUGUCAGUGUUGCGUUGUACCCUCAUACUAGCCUGUGUUCUGGUUUUCAUGCACAGUUUUUGGCUAUCCCAGUUUAGGUUUUGUUUUGUCUUUUGCCAACAAUAAAGUUGUUUAAGUUCACUUCCUGUUUUGGAGUCUGCGUUUGGGUCCUUUUCCUGCCUGCCUGCCCACAGAGCCAUGACAAAUCCACAGUCUGCCGUAUUCACAUACUUUAUUGCUUGAAUGUAAACUUUUCCUAAAUCAAUUAUAAAGAGCACUUUGAAGAUUUUUUUGAGAAAUAUUUUGGUUUAUAAACUUUUCAGACCACUUUAUAUAUACUUUUAUAUAAUUUUUCACUUAAAACUACCCUGUGGUUGAACUACAUAAAGUAAAGCAUGAUGGGAGUUUGUUUUACAAUGACAACUCUCUAAGCCACACUUACUUCCUGUGUCUGUACACAAAUAGAGCACAACAGAAAAGUUCUAACAAUUUGUUGUAAAAAAAAAAAAAAAAACAACAAAAUAAAAUAAAAAUGCUCUGUUCAAAUGGUCUCUCAUGAGACAUAAAGAAAACACAGAAUUCAAAUUAAAAACAACUAGCACUUACACCAAGGGUACCUUAAAUUUAUAGUCACACUGAACAUGGCAAGUUUCCCUGUGUGAACACAUGUAGAGAGC
ensembl:lncRNA